rnacentral:rRNA from 1 species
UACGGAGGGGGCUAGCGUUGUUCGGAAUUACUGGGCGUAAAGCGCACGUAGGCGGCUUUGUAAGUUAGAGGUGAAAGCCCAGGGCUUAACCCUGGAAUUGCCUUUAAGACUGCAUCGCUAGAAUUGUGGAGAGGUAAGUGGAAUUCCGAGUGUAGAGGUGAAAUUCGUAGAUAUUCGGAAGAACACCAGUGGCGAAGGCGACUUACUGGACACAUAUUGACGCUGAGGUGGCGAAAAGCGUGGGGAGCAAACAGG